rnacentral:lncRNA from 1 species
GAAGGUCCAUUCGUGGUCAAGAAGGUUUUCUCUGGCGGAGCCUUGUUGUUGACGACCAUGGAUGGCGAGGAUGUUCCAUCCCUUGUGAAUACGAACGCAGUUAAAAAUUACUUCGUAUAAAAGACCCGCUGGACGAAAAGAAUAAAAUAGUCCAGGCAAAAAUGGGCAUCCCGGCGAACCAAAAAAAUGAAAAAAGGUUCGGGCAAAAAUUAGGGAUAAAAAGGAAAAA